rnacentral:rRNA from 1 species
UGGGGAAUAUUGCGCAAUGGGCGAAAGCCUGACGCAGCGACGCCGCGUGGAGGAUGAAGGUCUUCGGAUUGUAAACUUCUGUUAGGUGGGAAGAAAAGUUUAUCUUGAAUAAAGAUAGAAAAUGACGGUACCACCAGAGAAAGCACUGGCUAACCUCGUGCCAGCAGCCGCGGUAAUACGAGGGGUGCAAGCGUUAUUCGGAAUCAUUGGGCGUAAAGGGUGCGUAGACGGUCUAUUAAGUCUGUCGUUUAAUACUCUAGCUUAACUGGAGAAAGGCGAUGGAAACUGGCAGGCUAGAGGGUGAGAGAGAGAAGUGGAAUUUCUGGAGUAGCGGUCAAAUGCGUAGAUCUCAGAAGGAACACCGAUGGCGAAGGCAGCUUCUUGGCUCAUACCUGACGUUGAUGCACGAAAGCGUGGGGAGCAAACAGGAUUAGAUACCCGGGUAGUCC